rnacentral:rRNA from 1 species
UACGGGGGUGCGAGCGUUGUCCGGAAUCACUGGGCGUAAAGGGCGCGUAGGUGGUUUGAUAAGGGUGUGGUGAAAGUCCGGAGCUCAACUCCGGAUCUGCCGUGCCGACUGUCAAACUCGAGGGCUGUAGAGGCAGACGGAAUUCCUGGUGUAGCGGUGAAAUGCGCAGAUAUCAGGAGGAACACCGAUGGCGAAGGCAGGUCUCUGGGCAUUAACUGACGCUGAGGAGCGAAAGCAUGGGGAGCGAACAGG